AUUAACACUAGACGGGGCCCUUACAUUUAACCCAGAGCAACAUCUUCAAAUCAUAUCAAAGGAUGAGAUCCACUUCCUCCAGCUUCAAAUGUCCCGAAGAAAAGCAUACAGCCUGGUCUCAUCAAUGCAAAGAUGUGGACACUUUCAAAGGAUAAUUAUUGCAUGUAUCUGAGACUCCUGUCAGAGAGUGGAAUGAGGCAAGUGCCUUUUCUUGAAAGCAGGGAUUCUGAAAAGGAACAUGGGUGGCCCAGAGCUAUCAAGAGCUGCCCUGAAUGUUGGUCUGAGAGCACCCAGUCUAGACAGUCCCAGGGUGAGAUCCCCUGGAUCCCCUCUGCUCCUCUCUACAACAAAAGGAGAAUAGGAUGGGAAGAUGUGGUGCUGGAAGCAAGGUACCUUAUAGCUAAGACUGCAGAGCUUCAGGUCUUCAAUCAAAUGAGGACAGCCUCAGGAAUGAUGCUGUAUAUCAGUGGGGACAGGCCUGGUGUCCUACUCUCAGUGGGUGUUGGGUGUUCCUGGUUUUCAUUCUGGUGUACAAACAGAAAAUACACCACCUCCAGCUCCAUGGUUCUCCCAUGCAGUGUCCUGAUCCCAUGA
rnacentral:lncRNA from 1 species